rnacentral:rRNA from 1 species
GAUGAACGCUGGCGGCGUGCCUAAUACAUGCAAGUAGAACGCUGAGGGAGGAGCUUGCUCUUCUGGAUGAGUUGCGAACGGGUGAGUAACGCGUAGGUAACCUGCCUGGUAGCGGGGGAUAACUAUUGGAAACGAUAGCUAAUACCGCAUGACAACAGUUAUUGCAUGAUAACUGUUUAAAAGGGGCAACUGCUCCACUACCAGAUGGACCUGCGUUGUAUUAGCUAGUUGGUGAGGUAACGGCUCACCAAGGCGACGAUACAUAGCCGACCUGAGAGGGGGAUCGGCCACCCUGGGACUGAGACACGGCCCAGACUCCUACGGGAGGCAGCAGUAGGGAAUCUUCGGCAAUGGACGGAAGUCUGACCGAGCAACGCCGCGUGAGGGAAGAAGGUUUUCGGAUCGUAAAGCUCUGUUGUAAGAGAAGAACGAGUGUGAGAGUGGAAAGUUCACACUGUGACGGUAUCUUACCAGAAAGGGACGGCUAACUACGUG